GAUGAACGCUGGCGGCGUGCCUAAUACAUGCAAGUCGAACGCUUCACUUCGGUGAAGAGUGGCGAACGGGUGAGUAAUACAUAAGUAACCUGGCAUCUACAGGGGGAUAACUGAUGGAAACGUCAGCUAAGACCGCAUAGGUGUAGAGAUCGCAUGAACUCUAUAUGAAAAGUGCUACGGGACUGGUAGAUGAUGGACUUAUGGCGCAUUAGCUUGUUGGUAGGGUAACGGCCUACCAAGGCGACGAUGCGUAGCCGACCUGAGAGGGUGACCGGCCACACUGGGACUGAGACACGGCCCAGACUCCUACGGGAGGCAGCAGUAGGGAAUUUUCGGCAAUGGGGGAAACCCUGACCGAGCAACGCCGCGUGAAGGAAGAAGUGAUUCGUUCUGUAAACUUCUGUCAUAGAGGAAGAACGGUGGAUAUAGGGAAUGAUAUCCAAGUGACGGUACUCUAUAAGAAAGCAACGGCUAACUACGUG
rnacentral:rRNA from 1 species